UACGGAGGGUGCGAGCGUUAAUCGGAAUUACUGGGCGUAAAGGGCGCGUAGGCGGUCAGCACAAGUCAGUUGUGAAAUCUCCGAGCUUAACUCGGAAAGGUCAACUGAUACUGUGCGACUAGAGUGCAGAAGGGGCAACUGGAAUUCUCGGUGUAGCGGUGAAAUGCGUAGAUAUCGAGAGGAACACCUGCGGCGAAGGCGGGUUGCUGGGCUGACACUGACGCUGAGGCGCGAAAGCUAGGGGAGCGAACGGG
rnacentral:rRNA from 1 species